rnacentral:rRNA from 1 species
GACGAACGCUGGCGGCGUGCUUAACACAUGCAAGUCGAGCGGUAAGGCCCUUUCGGGGGUACACGAGCGGCGAACGGGUGAGUAACACGUGGGUGACCUGCCCUCAGCUCUGGGAUAAGCCUGGGAAACCGGGUCUAAUACUGGAUAUGACUCCAUGACGCAUGUUGUGGGGUGGGAAGCCUUGUGCGGCUGAGGAUGGGCCCGCGGCCUAUCAGCUUGUUGGUGGGGUGANGGCCUACCAAGGCAACGACGGGUAGCCGGCCUGAGAGGGCGACCGGCCACACUGGGACUGAGACACGGCCCAGACUCCUACGGGAGGCAGCAGGUGGGGAAUCUUGCGCAAUGGGCGAAAGCCUGACGCAGCGACGCCGCGUGAGGGAUGACGGCCUGG